rnacentral:rRNA from 1 species
GGUUUUUAGAUUUUAUUAAAAAUCAAGCCUGCUCAAUGCUAAGUAAAUAGCCGCAGAAUUUUAACUGUGCAAAGGUAGCAUAAUCACUUGUCUUUUAAUUGAGGACUAGAAUGAAAGGUUUAACUAUGUAAUUUUGUCUUAUAGUAAUAUUUUGAACUUAAUUUUUUAGUAAAAAAGCUAAAAUUCACCUUAAAGACGAGAAGACCCUAUUAAGCUUUACAAUUUAAUAUUAUUUUCAAAUUAAUUAAAAAAUUGUUCUGCUGGGGCAGCAAAUAAAAAAAUAUUGUUUACAUAUUGUGAUAAAUAAAUCUAGAAAAAUCAAUAAUUUAUUAAAAAAUAAUAAGUUACUAUAGGGAUAACAGCAUAAUUUUUUUAAAGAGUUCUCAUCAACAAAAAAGUUUGUGACCUCGAUGUUGGAUUAAGAAUCCUAUUUUACGCAGUAGUAAAAAAAGGAAGUCUGUUCGACUUUUAAAUUCUUCCA